AACGAACGCUGGCGGCAUGCCUAACACAUGCAAGUCGAACGAGACCUUCGGGUCUAGUGGCGCACGGGUGCGUAACGCGUGGGAACCUGCCCUUAGGUUCGGCAUAACUCCCCGAAAGGGGUGCUAAUACCGGAUAAUGUCUUCGGACCAAAGAUUUAUCGCCUUUGGAUGGGCCCGCGUUGGAUUAGCUAGUUGGUAGGGUAAAAGCCUACCAAGGCGACGAUCCAUAGCUAGUCUGAGAGGAUGAUCAGCCACACUGGGACUGAGACACGGCCCAGACUCCUACGGGAGGCAGCAGUGGGGAAUAUUGGACAAUGGGCGAAAGCCUGAUCCAGCAAUGCCGCGUGAGUGAUGAAGGCCUUAGGGUUGUAAAGCUCUUUUACCCGGGAUGAUAAUGACAGUACCGGGAGAAUAAGCUCCGGCUAACUCCGUG
rnacentral:rRNA from 1 species